CUCAGGCUCAUGUGGUUUAAACCAUCUGUAGCUGGUGCCAAGCAUAAAGCACCAGCGGUCUUAAGAUUGAUCAUGUUGUCCUUGCUCUAUGUUACAUAUCAACUGAGCAGAACUCAAAUUAAUUCAAAACAGGAGGCUUUUCAGACGCUUUUUCUCAAAACUUCAGAUUUACUGAGGCUUUACACAGGACUUCAUGGGUGACAAUGACUGCAAGGUAGCCAGGUCGUGGGGCUGCAAAGGAGCCCAAAUCAUCAACUCUCUACCACUGUGCUUGAUCAUUGAUAAGAGCCUUUGUAAUACAGGUAAGGACAUAAAUGUAAUUGGAAUGAUAUUCCUGAAUUUAGUACAGUAAUGUCUUAUAGGAUAAUGUAAUGUUACUCAAACACUGGUCACGACAUUGUUCCAAUGCUGUGCUGUUCUUUUUCAGAGAGAAAAGGCUUUCAACUUGCAACACGUCCAUGCAAGCCAUAUUUGUUUACUCUUUUUAAAUUGUGCUGUCACAAACUUUAACAUUUAGCAUGCUUCCUGAAGCCCGUAGAGUCUGAGAUGUAGCUCUUGGGUUUUUUACAAUUUUUUCGAGCAUUGCACAGUCUGACCUCAAGGUGCACUUAGUUGCUGCUUACCCUUUUAACUCCUUCGAAAGCAGUAAGGGUGUAUUUCAUUUUUCACACAUUUUUCCAUAGGACUGCAUUGAGUCCUGUGAAAAGUUCUUUUUUUUUUUUGUAUAUUCAAUUUUAUUUUCUUUCUUAUGAGUACAUGUUUUAGCUUCUACAAGGGAAAAGUACCAGUAGAGUUGGACACAAAUGUUCUAUUAUUCAUUUUUUGGGUAGGCAUUAGUUUUUACUCGUUUUUAUUGAUAGGAUUUGGAUAUGUUUCUUUAAAAUGUCGGUACACUUAUUUAACAGAUUCAGCUGUUUUGAUAUGCACAGUGUCGUUCCUUCAUCUGUUACCCAGACAGAGUAUGUGUGAUGUGUGAGACCAAAUUAUAAAGAUAUUCUGUCAACUUUAAUUUUCUGUCUGAGUGAUCAUUACAUGUAAAUACAUCCCAAUCACAGCACAUCCAUUGUCUUUAAUUUGUGGUUUAUGGUAUAUGACAGAGAUAAAAUUAGGGCCCUUAGAAUAAACUGAGUAAAAAUAAAAGACGGUUCCAUUCAGGGUCCUAAUUAAUUCACAUUACCCUGAUUUUUUCAUGUAUUUUCUGUUACUUACUUCUGAUACUGCAGUUUUAAUAACUCCCCCCUCCCCCCCAAUAAAUAAAUAAAUGAAUGAAUGAUAGGCAGUCCCACAGGCAGAGUUUAGAUAGAGCCCAAACUGCUAACACUAGCAGCAUUAGCAUCCAGGCUUCCGUAAAGGCCUCUUAAGGUAAUAUAGCUCAACAGUCACCCUGCUUGACUUUUCAGUAGCUUAUCACUCGGAAAUUACAGUGCAACACACUUGAUAAUAUACUAGUAUUAUCA
ensembl:lncRNA